UUCAGUGGCUUAGUAAAUUUCACAAAAAUAAAGAGCUAUAUUUACUUAAUAAAAUCUUUUGAAAUCAUUUAAGUGAUAUUUUGAGUGGGUCAGGUUAAAAAUAAUAAUUAAAAAUCCAACAAAUAAUUUCUCUAAAAUUUACAUAUAUUAUUUAAGUUUAUUUAAUGAAAAUAAAUAAGUAUUUAACUAACUAAUUAUAUUUUUAACAUACCCUCAAUAUUUCUGGUGAAUUCUAAUAUAAAUAUUUGAUAAUUAUUUACUUGUACUGAUCUGUUUUAGAAACUAAAAUUAUUAAGUAUUUCCUACCAAUUUUCCUAAAUAAAGUUCCAGCUUAAUAAAAAACGGUUUAAAUAAAUUAAGUAAAUUUCGCGGCUAAAGUGAUCACGUGUGCAGCUCCGCAGGAAAAAAAAAAUCUGCUUUCCUCAGCAGAGACGUCGACUAACCAUACUCCUCACAACUCCUGGUUAAGUAAGGUUAGUCAGCUAAUCCUACUUACGUUUGUAACACUUUAUUAUAAAGUUAAUAAUUAUUAAGCAUUUCCUAACAAUUGUCUUUGUAUUUUACGUCAUCUUCAACAAGUUUCGUAACUUAAUCGAGGUCACCUGAAGGACGGCGUUCCUGAGUUUCCUCAGCAACGGCAAGACCCGCACUCCUCUCAUAUCGGGAAGUUUAACGAGUUUCGCGGCUCAAGCAAGAGGCACCUGUCACUGAAGGACUGCUUUUCUCAGCAACGACGUGAACAGCAUUACUCGAAUUUCCUGGUUCAGCUGAUCUACCCGUCUUCGUACAAGUAGAGUUGGCAGAGGAGGUCAUACAAAUCUACAUCCUUCGGGACAAUGAUGGGGCAGUCAGCGAUGUAGGAGUUGUGAUUGAGGGCAUCACUGUCCUCCGCAGUCUUGGGAAUCUAAGCAGAGCCUGCUGCUAUCUUUUGGGAGUCACGUAUGCAUUGGAUUUGAGAUAUCCCAAGACCCACAAAUACAGGUCCUUCUCAAAAAAUUAGCUUAUUGUGAUAAAGUUCAUUAUUUUCCAUAAUGUAAUGAUAAAAAUUAAACUUUCAUAUAUUUUAGAUUCAUUGCACACCAACUGAAAUAUUUCAGGUCUUUUAUUGAUUUAAUACUGAUGAUUUUGGCAUACAGCUCAUGAAAACCCCAAAUUCUCAAAACAUUAGCAAAUUUCAUCCGACCAAUAAAAGAAAAGUGUUUUUAAUACAAAAAAAAAAGUCAACCUUUAAAUAAUUAUGUUCAGUUAUGCACUCAA